rnacentral:rRNA from 1 species
AUGGACGACGUUGAACCCGAGCUCAUCCAUCUUGGCCAGUAUGUGCGGCGGCGGAGGCGCGCCGCCUGUGGAGAUGCGCACCUUGACCGGCAGCGGCCUCUGCUCCGAAGCCGGCGCGUUCACGAGCAUGCUGAGCACCGUGGGCGCGCCGCCCAUGUUAGUAACCCUGUGCCGCACGAUCUGCUCGAAGACGGCCUUCGGAGCCAAGCUCCCGGCCAUGCAGACGCUGGUGCCGCCCUGCGCCGCCGUGGCCCACACCAUACACCAGCCGUUGCAGUGGAACAUGGGCACGGCCCAGAGGUACACCGGCAUGGUCGGCAUCUCGUUGGCGAGCGCCGUGGCCAGCGUGUUGAGGUAGGCGCCGCGGUGGCUGUAGAUGACGCCCUUGGGCCGCGACGUCGUCCCCGACGUGUAGUUGAGGGAUAUCGGGUCGCACUCGUCGGCGGGCCACCUGAUCUCGAAGCCGCGCGGCGCGCUCCUCAGCAGGGCCUCGUACUCCGGCACGCCAUCGCUACUGAUGCCGUCGCCGUCGGCGAUCGUGACGAGGAGAGGCAGGCUGCCUCCGGCGUCAGCGAGGAGCGCCAGGGCGUCGCGUGCGACGCCGAGGAACUGCGACUCGACGAGGAAGACUCUGGCCUCCGAGUGGUUCAGGAGGACGGACACCAUGGCCGCGUCGUGCCGGGUGUUGAGCGUGCACAGCACACCGCCAGUCAUCGGCACGCUGAAGUGCAGCUCGUACAUGGCCGGCGUGUUCGCGGCCAGCACCGCCACCACAUCCCGGCGGCCGACGCCGAGGCGCGCGAGCGCGGACGCCCCGGCGAGGCACCGCUCCCUCGUGUCGCGCCACGAGUACUCCUUCUCGCCGAAUACGACGGCCGUGCGCGCCCCGUACACGAGCGCGGCGCGCUCCAGGAAGCUCAGCGGCGUGAGGGGCGUGUAGUUGGCGUCGCACUUCACCGACCCCUCCAUGGCGAUGCCUUCGAGAAUGGGAUCCCCGGAGCAAUCCAGGCUAGGUACGGUUGA